rnacentral:tRNA from 2 species
GCGAGAUUAGUAUAGUGGUAGUACAUUAGCUUCCCAAGCUGAUAGCGCGGGUCCGAUUCCCGUAUCUCGCUCCA